GCGUUGGCGCAACGGAAGAGGCGGCCGGGAGAGGGUGCGCCUCUGCUCUGGCUGGACUGCCGCGGAGGAGGCGGCAGAAGCGUUCGGUGCUGGGAAGCUGGCUCGGGGGGCAGCAGCGGCUGCUGCGGAUGGGAGCGGGUCGGCUUGGCGCGCCCAUGGAGCGCCACGGCAGCGCCGCCGCCACCUCCGCCUCGUCGGCUCGAGAGCCAGCGCCCGGGGGGCCGGAUGGGCGGCGGCGGGAGCCGCUGCGGCGCCAGGCGAGCAGCGCGUCGGAGACCGCCGUCGGGGCCGGGGCUGGGGCCGCGGCCGCAGCUCCCGCGGAGGGCGUGAGGCGGGACCACCCCGGCUCUUACAGCGGCCCUACCUCGGUCUCCCGCCAGCGCGUCGAAAGCCUCCGGAAGAAGCGGCCGCUUUUUCCAUGGUUUGGCUUGGAUAUUGGUGGAACCCUGGUCAAGCUGGUUUAUUUUGAGCCCAAAGACAUCACUACUGAAGAAGAGGAGGAAGAAGUGGAAAGUCUGAAAAGCAUUCGGAAGUACCUGACUUCCAAUGUGGCUUAUGGGUCCACGGGUAUUCGGGAUGUGCACCUGGAGCUGAAGGACCUGACUCUGUGUGGACGCAAAGGCAAUCUGCACUUUAUACGCUUUCCUACUCAUGACAUGCCUGCUUUUAUUCAAAUGGGCAGAGAUAAAAACUUCUCGAGUCUCCACACAGUCUUUUGUGCCACUGGAGGUGGAGCGUACAAAUUUGAGCAGGAUUUUCUCACAAUAGGUGAUCUUCAGCUUUGCAAACUUGAUGAACUAGAUUGCUUGAUAAAAGGGAUUUUAUACAUCGACUCAGUUGGAUUCAAUGGACGGUCACAGUGCUAUUACUUUGAAAACCCUGCUGAUGCUGAAAAAUGUCAGAAGUUACCGUUUGAUUUGAAAAACCCCUACCCUUUGCUUCUGGUGAACAUUGGCUCAGGGGUUAGCAUUUUAGCAGUAUAUUCCAAAGAUAAUUACAAGCGGGUCACAGGUACCAGUCUUGGAGGAGGAACUUUUUUUGGUCUCUGCUGUCUUCUUACUGGCUGUACCACUUUUGAAGAAGCUCUUGAAAUGGCAUCUCGUGGAGAUAGCACCAAAGUGGAUAAACUAGUACGAGACAUUUAUGGAGGGGACUAUGAGAGGUUUGGACUGCCAGGCUGGGCUGUGGCAUCGAGCUUUGGAAACAUGAUGAGCAAGGAGAAGCGAGAGGCUGUCAGUAAAGAGGACCUCGCCAGAGCAACUUUGAUCACCAUCACCAACAACAUUGGCUCAAUAGCAAGAAUGUGUGCCCUUAAUGAACUUCUCCUGCUUUGUCGCACUUCAUGUCCCAUCUCUCCGUCCUGCCUCGGUUGUCUGGAAAAGCUCCAGGCCUCUGCUGCUUCUCACCGCCCCGAUUCCCCAAGGAGCUGACUUGGAUCCUGCCUCCUACCAGAGGGAGCCAAGCCACCAUGGGCCCCUCAGCUCCUGUAGCCCCACUGGGUAUUUUGGAGCCGUUGGAGCACUCCUUGAGCUGUUGAAGAUCCCCUGAUUGUUACCUGGGGAGGGGUUCCUGGAACCUUCCACGAUGGGAUCUGUGGACUUUUGUUUUUUUAAGAGACUUACUCAAUUUUAUGAUUGUGUAGGACCCGAAUCAAAGCAAGAAAGGACAAGUAUAUUUUCCUAAGUCAUCAAAUAAAUCCUUAAAAAUUCAGUGUAAACUAGUAACCAGUAAGCAAGGCAUAUAUAUAUAUAUAUAAAGCAGACCACAUCCAUGGCAGUGAGGAUUUGCCAUAGAAAAGCUGCUCUUCAAUAUAGCUUUGUUAAACCUGCUUUGUAUUUUUGAAACUCAGCUUCACUCACUAGAGCCACUUCAGGGGAGAGCUGUUGUGUGCUCAGCUGACUAUGGGUUUGUGUCCUGUUGAACUUGUUGAAUGUAAGGCAAGCUACUGUGUGUUAUAAUCUAAUCAGAAUGCUGUAACAAUGGCUAUGGAGGUCGUCUGUG